rnacentral:misc_RNA from 1 species
CUGAGUUCGGGGGCAAUCCCAGUCCCGACUUCCAACCCUUUGUGAACAUAUCUUGUUGCUUCGGAGGCGACCCUGCCGUCCGCGGCAUUCCCCCCGGAGGUCAUCAAAACACUGCAUUAUUACGUCGGAGUAAAAAGUUAAUUUAAUA